rnacentral:rRNA from 1 species
GGGGGAUAUUGCGCAAUGGGGGCAACCCUGACGCAGCAACGCCGCGUGAAGGAUGAAGGUUUUCGGAUUGUAAACUUCUUUUAUUAAGGACGAAAAAUGACGGUACUUAAUGAAUAAGCUCCGGCUAACUACGUGCCAGCAGCCGCGGUAAUACGUAGGGAGCAAGCGUUGUCCGGAUUUACUGGGUGUAAAGGGUGCGUAGGCGGCUUUGCAAGUCAGAUGUGAAAUCUAUGGGCUCAACCCAUAAACUGCAUUUGAAACUGUAGAGCUUGAGUGAAGUAGAGGCAGGCGGAAUUCCCCGUGUAGCGGUGAAAUGCGUAGAGAUGGGGAGGAAUACCAGUGGCGAAGGCGGCCUGCUGGGCUUUAACUGACGCUGAGGCACGAAAGCGUGGGUAGCAAACAGGAUUAGAUACCCUGGUAGUCCACGCUGUAAACGAUGAUUACUAGGUGUGGGGGGUCUGACCCCUUCCGUGCCGGAGUUAACACAAUAAGUAAUCCACCUGGGGAGUACGGCCGCAAGGUUGAAACUCAAAGGAAUUGACGGGGGCCCGCACAAGCAGUGGAGUAUGUGGUUUAAUUCGAAGCAACGCGAAGAACCUUACCAGGUCUUGACAUCCAACUAACGAAGUAGAGAUACAUUAGGUGCCCUUCGGGGAAAGUUGAGACAGGUGGUGCAUGGUUGUCGUCAGCUCGUGUCGUGAGAUGUUGGGUUAAGUCCCGCAACGAGCGCAACCCUUGCUAUUAGUUGCUACGCAAGAGCACUCUAAUAGGACUGCCGUUGACAAAACGGAGGAAGGUGGGGACGACGUCAAAUCAUCAUGCCCCUUAUGACCUGGGCUACACACGUACUACAAUGGAUGUUAACAGAGGGAAGCAAGACAGCGAUGUGGAGCAAACCCCUAAAAACAUUCUCAGUUCAGAUUGCAGGCUGCAACCCGCCUGCAUGAAGAUGGAAUUGCUAGUAAUCGCGGAUCAGCAUGCCGCGGUGAAUACGUUCCCG